AUUUAUCGGAGAGUUUGAUCCUGGCUCAGGACGAACGCGGGCGGCGGUCCUAAUACAUGCAAGUCGAGCGGCAAGGUGGGAGCUUGCUCCCUGAUGUUAGCGGGGGAUGGUGGAGUAAGACG
rnacentral:rRNA from 1 species